AGCGAUUUCAAGGAAGUUUUCGGACGGAAUUGAAAUUGACUUAGCGGCGGACGGGUGAGUAACGCGUGGGUAACCUGCCUCAUACAGGGGGAUAACAGUUGGAAACGACUGCUAAUACCGCAUAAGCACACAGUGCCGCAUGGUACGGUGUGAAAAACUCCGGUGGUAUGAGAUGGACCCGCGUCUGAUUAGGUAGUUGGUGAGGUAACGGCCCACCAAGCCGACGAUCAGUAGCCGACCUGAGAGGGUGACCGGCCACAUUGGGACUGAGACACGGCCCAAACUCCUACGGGAGGCAGCAGUGGGGAAUAUUGGACAAUGGGGGAAACCCUGAUCCAGCGACGCCGCGUGAGUGAAGAAGUAUUUCGGUAUGUAAAGCUCUAUCAGCAGGGAAGAAAAUGACGGUACCUGACUAAGAAGCCCCGGCUAACUACGUGCCAGCAGCCGCGGUAAUACGUAGGGGGCAAGCGUUAUCCGGAUUUACUGGGUGUAAAGGGAGCGUAGACGGCACUGCAAGUCUGGAGUGAAAGCCCGGGGCUCAACCCCGGGACUGCUUUGGAAACUGUGGUGCUAGAGUGCAGGAGAGGUAAGCGGAAUUCCUAGUGUAGCGGUGAAAUGCGUAGAUAUUAGGAGGAACACCAGUGGCGAAGGCGGCUUACUGGACUGUAACUGACGUUGAGGCUCGAAAGCGUGGGGAGCAAACAGGAUUAGAUACCCUGGGUAGUCCACGCCGUAAACGAUGAAUACUAGGUGUUGGGGAGCAAAGCUCUUCGGUGCCGCCGCUAACG
rnacentral:rRNA from 1 species